rnacentral:rRNA from 1 species
CCUACGGGUGGCUGCAGUGAGGAAUAUUGGUCAAUGGCCGCGAGCCUGAACCAGCCAAGUAGCGUGAAGGAUGACGGCCCUACGGGUUGUAAACUUCUUUUAUAAGGGAGUAAAGUGCGGCACGAGACCCUUUUUGUAUGUACUUUAUGAAUAAGGAUCGGCUAACUCCGUGCCAGCAGCCGCGGUAAUACGGAGGAUCCGAGCGUUAUCCGGAUUUAUUGGGUUUAAAGGGAGCGUAGAUGGGUUGUUAAGUCAGUGGUGAAAGUUUGCGGCUCAACCGUAAAUUUGCCAUUGAUACUGGCAGCCUUGAGUACAGGAGGGGUAGGCGGAAUGCGUGGUGUAGCGGUGAAAUGCAUAGAUAUCACGAAGAACUCCGAUCGCGAAGGCAGCUUACUAACCUGCCACUGACAUUGAUGCUCGAAAGUGUGGGUAUCAAACAGGAUUAGAUACCCUGGUAGUC